rnacentral:lncRNA from 1 species
GAAACAGCUAUAAUUAUGGGGAUUAAGUUCAAUAAAUUACUUAAUAAAAACAAUCCAAACAGUAAUUAUAUUACAUGCAUGCUUUAUGGGGAAGCUGCAGCUUCAAAAUGUGCUAUUAUUAGUAAGACACGAAGACGUUUGGACAUUUUUACAUCACAAUCAACUUUUGGACUAAUCAACUGGCAUAAUUUGAUCUAAAUUUUUAAAAAUGAAUAGUAACAAUAAUGUCCAUUGAUUUAAGUAACCCAAGCUCCAUUUGAUAUAAUUUUUUAAAUAGAACUUAUUGAAAUAGAGUUCUUAUUAAUAAAUCUUUUAUA